rnacentral:lncRNA from 1 species
CUCCGCGCUCCCGCCCGGGCACGGGGGCGCCCUCCGCGCCGCCUAAUCGCAUUAAUCCGCGGGACAAUGCCCCAAAUCCACAUGACGCCAUUUACUGCUGCUUUUGCAGAGAGAUCACCCUACCUCCUCCGGAAAGAAAAAGAGAGAGAGGGAGAGAGCGAGCGAGCAGAAAAACGUCGAGUCCCUACAGCUCAGAUCUCAAAUCUUCCUCCUCCUCCUCCUCCACCUCCUCCAAACACACAACAACAACUACCACCACAAAUCCGCUGCGCUCCCAAAACACCCCCCCGAUUGCAAACCACAGAACUGCCUGCAACACACACGCUCGCAGAGGGAGCGAGAAAGCUAAGAGGGAGAGAGGGGAGAGGAGCCUGCAGCAAGCAGCUUCUCAGGAGAACGGCUACAUUGCACAAGCUGCUUUUUUGGAGGAGCUCAGUGGAAGAAAGCUCUGGGAUUUUAUUUUAGAUCCACUUUGUUUUGUUUUCUUUGGCUUUUCCCUUUCCUCUUGAAUUUGCAACAGCAACAAAAAAAAAAAGUGACUUGGUAUUGGCGAUUCGGCCUCCUGUUCAUUGAGGAAAAGAAAGGAAAGUGUGUGUGUGUGAGACUGAGUGAUUUUUAGGAGCAAAGAAAACCCACCCCGAUCCGGAGAGGUGUUUUGAUUAUUAUUAUAGUAUACACACACACACACACGUAUUUAUAAUCGAUCUGGGGAAAGGCACCUAACUUUGAUCUGGACUUUUUUUUUUUUUUUAACAUGGUGAUCAUUCUUACUCUAAUUUGCAAGUCGGACUAAAGCAGAGUUUGGAAAAGAAUUUUUUUUUGCUUUAGGGCUGGAUUUAUUUGCAAACCGCAGGAAGAAGAAAAUACAAGAGAGAGGGGUUUGGUGCAGCGCNNNNNNNNNNNNNNNNNNNNNNNNNNNNNNNNNNNNNNNNCCCACCCCCGCUUUGGUUGCUCCAAGAAAACUCGUGGAAAUGUUUGAGGCCGAUCCCUUUUCCAUUCGUACAGGUUCUCCCUCUCCCCCCCUUCCCUUCUCCUUCCUUUCUCAGAGAGGAGCUGGAGGUGGGAUUUCGGAGCGGUUUUUC